rnacentral:tRNA from 1 species
UCCCUGGUAGCUCAGCUGGUAAAGAAUCUGCCUGCAAUGCAGGAAAUCCCGGUUCGAUUCCUGGGUUGGGAA